rnacentral:lncRNA from 1 species
UUUUCAUCUUCUCCAAUACGGCAACUCCGAUUAGGGUUUCAUCUUCUUCUAUACGCUUCCAACUCACAACAGUCUACUUUCUCCCCAAAUCUUCUAGGUAAGAUUCCAAAUCUGUAAUCGUCGACUGGAAAUCUUCAACAACAAGGGUUUUUUUUUGUUCUUUCUCUUCCUCAUCGCAAUCGAUCCUAAAUCUCUUUAGAAACAACUGGAAGCAGCCAAGCAACUAGGUUAAUUUUUCUCGAUCUAUGAUGUUUUAAACAUUCUUUCAUGAUUCGUGGUUUAUCUUUCUCCUUCAACGGCAAUGGAUUGGAAAUCAGGGUUCUUCGAUCUCGGGUUUAGGGUUUCGUGUUAACCAGGUAACUUCCUGGUCUGACUCAUUUGUGUUUCAUCCAGAUCCAACAGGACUCAAGGCGCUUAAUCUAUCUGAAACAACGAUUGAGGGAGAAAGCUCUUGAAAAGGCACGUUUUAAACACUUUGACAAAUAAUCCGGCGUGUGUUAGUUUCGUACCGCGACUUUGAAGACAUCUUUAUGUUGAUUAUUUUAUCAGGUCUUUGAGGGAUGAGGUUCGGAUAUUCGAAGAACUUCCCUCUAGGCUUAAAAGACGCGUUGAGCUUGGGAAAUUUCGUUCUUUAGCACUAAUAUUGGUCUACUAUUUCUUAAUAUUGUAACCAGAUUCUUCUUCUUAUGCGGAAGUGUGAAGUUGUACGUUUAAACAGAACCGACACCCAUCUUGCCAACAAUGGGUUCCCUUUAGAGAUUCAAAAACUGAGGUAUGCGUAUUCAUGGUGGAAAGAGAAAAAUUGAUUUUGAUCUAAAGAGGAAACAAGGGUUGUGUCUUAUGACACCAAAAGAAAAGAGAAAUCAAAGGAUACUCAACAACGUACUCUACAAGGCAAAGAUCUAUCACAUACAGAGAGCCUAAUUAACACUUUGGAAAUUGCUUCAAAAAAUCCCUCAAGAGUAUAUGGAGUAAUGGCAGUUGUGGAAGCCGGUUUGCUGGACAUCUCACCCUCAAAGUUAAGCAGUUAGAUGUGAAGCGUGAGACCAAAAACGAAGGUUUUUUUUUAUCUCCAUUUAAAUCACAUGGCCUUAAUAAGGUGAUGAUAGAAUCUGUUUUUUCAUAUGAAUUUAUUUUGGCUAUAAGUAUGGGUUAGGAAAAUUUAGGUGACGGCAUGCUUUUCUUUUUUUAUAUUCAUGAAACAAAUAUAGUCACUAAUACAAUGUUUGUGUUGUGUUCAAGCGAGAUGGGUCAGAAUUGUUUGAGCUAUGCCUUCACAGUUUGCGUUUGUCUGUAAAUUAUGUAUAUAUGUGGGUUUUUGAUGGUCUAGGCCUCAAUUUUUAGAAAGUGAGGAUUGUGGACGCCAAGAGCUGAUGUUAGCCGAUGCAUUGAGUUUUCCACAGGCGCAAUUUUUUUUAAAUAUUAUGUUUUUGUAUAUAGCUUUUUUUUCAUUAUGAUUAUGAAAUGUAAAUGGCUUGCUGUUUGUUUCAUUUGUUUAUUAUUAGAAUAGAAUGAAUAUAGAGUUCUGUAUGGGGCUUUUUUCAUUAUGAUUAUGAGAUGUUAGUGGCUUGCUGUUGGU